rnacentral:rRNA from 1 species
CACGUGGACAACCUAACCUAUGGAGGGGGAUAACCCCGGGAAACUGGGGAUAAUACCCCAUAGACUAUAAAUGCUGGAAUGCUUUGUAGUUGAAAGGUCCGCCGCCAUAGGAUGGGUCUGCGGCCGAUUAGGUUGUUGUUGGGGUAACGGCCCAACAAGCCUGUAAUCGGUACGGGUUGUGGGAGCAAGAGCCCGGAGAUGGAUUCUGAGACACGAAUCCAGGCCCUACGGGGCGCAGCAGGCGCGAAAACUUUACAAUGCGGGAAACCGUGAUAAGGGAACUCCGAGUGCCCGUAAAAUCGGGCUGUCCAUCUGUGUAAAAAACAGGUGAAGAAAGGGCCGGGCAAGACCGGUGCCAGCCGCCGCGGUAAUACCGGCGGCUCGAGUGGUGGCCACUAUUACUGGGCUUAAAGCGUUCGUAGCUGGUCUGUUAAGUCUCUGGGGAAAUCUACUGGCUUAACCAAUAGGCGUCUCAGGGAUACUGGCAGACUAGGGACCGGGGAGAGGUGAGGGGUACUCC